CGCCUGCCGCCUGCCUGUUGCAUCCGUCGGCUCAGACAGACUGACAGACAAGACGCGCUGAUUGCUUUGCACUGAAAAACAUUCGAUUUAACGGAUUUCACACGGAUUAAACUCCAGCUUUCGUCUCAUCGGUUGAAAUUUGCUUCGACACUUUCAGCAAUGGUUGGAUGCGAAAACCGCGAUCCCCGGCUGCAGAGGAGAGUAGAGGAGCGACAGGGCAACGCGGACGGCUCGCUUUCGCAGCCACUCGCGAUUGCCGCCGAAGUCAUGCAGGAUCAUCGUAUGGACCUGGCGGCGGCAAUCGCAGACAACCCUCAGUUUAACAGAGGGUUCAACGCCAUGAGGAGGGAGCUUCACCCUCUAGGUCUCGCCAGGCGCCUCGUGGCAACCUACUCCUCCUCAUCUUCCUUUGCCCCCUCAAACCACCCGAUUGUCGCGUCCAGAGCGGAGUCUGUUGGCCAUGCCGGCCUUGUGGAGGCACCCUGCUCGUAUGCUGGCAUAGUAGCUGCCGCACCGUCAGAACAGUCGUCGAGGAAGCGCGCCCUUUCGCCGAGCCACGCUUCGCAAAGCGAGCUGCUGUCGAAGCAGUUCAAGGAAGACAGGCUGCGUCGCCAACAGCAAGGCUCAGCAGAGCGGCGGUUCGCUUCAGUGCGAAAGCAUCUUUUUUGACGGAGACUUCUGCUGGAGUAUAUAGGGGCGUGACCCUUUUAUUAAGGGUUUUGCAAUAUGUGAAAAAGCUGGCUCGAGCUCGAGACCGAUUUGGGUAAUGGAUUUAGGGGCGUGGUUUCCAGCUGCUCAUGCAUCUCCCAACGGCGACCACCCUCGGCAGAGCUGCUUCCUCGUCCAGCAGAGUCUGCAACUAAAUGUGAAGUUAUAUCAGCAGGUCCAGCCAAGUAUAUUUGUAGAUAUAUAAUUCCCAAAAUCUCGGUUGCCUUGAUCGACAUGAGUUGGAAAAUUUUCUUGCUGACUUCGAGAGAAGAAUCAGAGGCCAGCUUCAUCAUGAGACGAUGAGUCAAUCAGCUGUCUCCUCUGCCAGUGGCCAAUCAGCCCAACCUUGAGAGGACCUCUCAACAGAGCUAUCUCUUUAGAGAACCCUGGGGUGUCGCAUUUGAAUUCCAGUCGUGUGUCCAGUCUUCAAGUGACACAAAAGAGGGUCGAAAUAUAUCCUGGCCAGGCCCACGGAGGCGAGGAGGGAGAGAAACGCCAAAUUCUUCACUCCUCUGUCAGGGCUAGCAGAUGAAAAGCAGCCUGAUGGACAUUCCCUCCACCUGCUUGCCAGAGAAGGUAGGCAAAAGGUUAUGUGUUUGUUUCGAGACGGAAGCGAAGAAUCUAGUCAUUUUUUUAUUGAAAGACAAUAAAUCCCCUUAAAAAUUUACAAUGUUUAUAAUAAAACCACAUGAACAUUUUGC